AUGGGUUGUAAACUGCUUUUACAGAGGAAGAAACCUCCCCUUGCGAGGGGAAUUGACGGUACUCUACGAAUAAGGAUCGGCUAACUCCGUGCCAGCAGCCGCGGUAAUACGGAGGAUCCAAGCGUUAUCCGGAAUCAUUGGGUUUAAAGGGUCCGUAGGCGGGACAAUCAGUCAGCGGUGAAAGUCUGUGGCUCAACCAUAGAAUUGCCAUUGAUACUGUUGUUCUUGAAUACUUAUGAAGUGGUUGGAAUAUGUAGUGUAGCGGUGAAAUGCAUAGAUAUUACAUAGAACACCAAUUGCGAAGGCAGAUCACUAAUAAUUUAUUGACGCUGAUGGACGAAAGCGUAGGUAGCGAACAGGAUUAGAUACCCUGGUAGUCUACGCCGUAAACGAUGGUUACUAGCUGUUUGGUCGUAAGACUGAGUGGCUAAGCGAAAGUGAUAAGUAACCCACCUGGGGAGUACGUUCGCAAGAAUGAAACUCAAACGAAUUGACGGAG
rnacentral:rRNA from 1 species